rnacentral:lncRNA from 1 species
UCAUAAUCCAGUUCAGCUUGCUGCAACUCAAUUAGACUCCAAUACUUAUUGAUUGCCCACUGUGUGCUAGCUAUAGGACUGGGUGCAGGGGAAAUAUGAGGAUUCCCUUUAAGGAAUCCCUCUCCACCAGAGGGACAGGUGUGUGCAAAGCUCUCUUUGUUGCAGAGAGAUUGGAACUACAGCAAAGGUAUGAACAGGUGUCACGGGGACACAGAAGAAAGAGCAGUUACUCUUCCGGAAGGUUGGAGAAGAUUUUGUGAAGGUGGGGAUGUUUGAUUUGAACCUUGAAGAACAAGCAGAGACCCAAGAAGUACAGAAGAGGGGAGGUGGAAAUAGCAUGAACGAGGUGGGGCAUGCAAAUUCACUUUCAAUUGAUACAAUCUUUCACGUCAGAGCUGCUUCUUGUAACACAGAAGUUUUCAGAUUCUAUGAAAAGGUAUUGAAUGAAUUGAAGGCUCUGUUAAGGGGGCAACUAUCUCCCCUCCCCAUUCUCCUAUCAGCCCAUAAAACAGGAACUGACAACCUCUUGGAAGAAUUGGGAAGGAACUUUUCGAUUUUCUCUGUACAAUCUUCACUGGUUCCUCUCUGUGAGAGGAGGAGGGACCUCUUGGAUUGGUGUCGUUGGGAAAAGGGUAUCAAGUGUGCAUGGCUCAGCCUGUUCCUGGCUCUCUCUCUGGGACUGACCUGACUGCAAGCAGCAUGUUCUCUGUCUGCUCCUGCCUCCUCCAGGCAAUGAGCACCAGGGCGGGUCCAGCCCUUGCUUGGGAGGACUUCAAUAGUCCAGCUGCUCUGCCGCGAGUGGGUGAGUGAGUUCAAGUCAGAGGAGAAGACACAGAAAGCUCAUUUGGGCCUUGGGUCUUAGCCACAUCCUCCAGUCCAUCUGGACUAGCAAUAAAGCUGACAUUUUAAUCCCU